rnacentral:tRNA from 1 species
UCCCUUGCGGUCCAACGGUCAGGACUCUGCACUUUCACUGCAGGGGAUCUGGGUUCUAUCCCUGGCCAGGGCA